UGUCCUAUGAUGCCUUCAGUGA
rnacentral:piRNA from 1 species